rnacentral:rRNA from 1 species
GACGAACCGUGCGAACGUUAUUCGGAAUCACUGGGCUUAAAGCGCGUGUAGGCGGGUGGGAACGUCGGCCGCUGAAAUCCCCCGGCUCAACCGGGGAAGGGGCGCCGAAACGGCCCGCCUGGAGGGACGUAGGGGGAGCUGGAACUUCCGGUGGAGCGGUGAAAUGCGUUGAGAUCGGAAGGAACGCCCGUGGCGAAAGCGAGCUCCUGGACGUUUUCUGACGCUGAGACGCGAAAGCCAGGGGG